rnacentral:rRNA from 1 species
AGAGUUUGAUCCUGGCUCAGGAUGAACGCUAGCUACAGGCUUAACACAUGCAAGUCGAGGGGAAACGAUAUUGGAAGCUUGCUUCCGAUAGGCGUCGACCGGCGCACGGGUGAGUAACGCGUAUCCAACCUGCCCACCACUUGGGGAUAACCUUGCGAAAGUAAGACUAAUACCCAAUGACGUCUCUAGAAGACAUCUGAAAGAGAUUAAAGAUUUAUCGGUGAUGGAUGGGGAUGCGUCUGAUUAGCUUGUUGGCGGGUAACGGCCACCAAGGCUACGAUCAGUAGGGGUUCUGAGAGGAAGGUCCCCCACAUUGGAACUGAAGACACGGUCCAAAACUCCGUACGGGAGGCA